rnacentral:sRNA from 1 species
GGUCCAGGACGAAGUAUUUGGACAAUGAGGUCGUUAUGUGAGCAGGCGUGAGAAGUUGAGAGGAGAUUUGUUUUACUUGCCGGUGUCUUGUGCAGUGUUAAAUACACAGUGAAGCAGGUCUGGAAGGAGGGAGAGGUAGUUUCUCAGCGAGUGGAGUGGAGUCGCGGUAUAUCCAGCAUCUUAAACAAAGAAACUCAGGCUCUGAGGUUUCCUGCUGUGAAAAGAGACAAGAUGGCAGCUCUGAGGAAGAGAGCCAAACAAUAAAAGCUGUCUGCUUCGUACAAGCAGGGAAGAAAUAACAAGCAGAAUGUUCUGAAGGUUUCUUAACUCCAUGCCAGAAGAUAUAGUGACCACUGAUCAGCACCUGGGCUCUCUGUCAUGUCAUAUAUGGUGAUCUAAGGAGGGAGAGUGUCUGCAAGCAACAUGGCAUAUUGAGAAGACACAAGCUAAAGAUCUCAGUUCUCAGUGUAGUUAGGAGUACCAGCUCUGGCAUGGCAAGGAUUGACUUGGAAUUUGGGCAGAGUAUAAAGCUGGGGGAAGACCCAUAAGGAAGAAAGGACAAUUGGUUCCAAAAUGCUCAAAGAGGCAAACUGAGGCAGCCAUCAUACCGAGUGGAGGAGUGUGCGGUUACCAUGUGCAAAGCCCUGUCUUCAUCCUCUAGCAAUUCUACCUAAGGAAGCCCAGCAAUAACAAAGGCAUAAUUGAAAAGAACAGUGAAGGGUCUUGCUUUAGCAGGCAUCUAAAUUUACUCUAGUGCCUCUAUUGUCUCCAAAGCAGCUAUUAGGUAGAACUGUUGCUUCCGGAGGCCUAGAAGAAUGGCUCAGCAGUAGAGUGGUGCUGAGUUUGAUUCCUAGCACCUAUGUUGGGCAGCUUAUGCUCACCUGUAACCCCAGCCUCAGGAGGACGCUCUACACCUACAGGCACUUGCUUUCAUGAGCACGUGCCCCUCUUACAUGCAUGUGAUUAAAAGUUACAAACAAAUCUUAAAAACAAAACAAAAACGAACCAUGUGUCUGGACUCAGGGCUCUCUAGGAAAGCUUUGGCUACAGCAAGGUUGGCUUUGCUUCUAAUUCUGUGUUCCUGUUAUGGCUGGAAGAAGGAAUCAUCUAGUUCUAAGAUGGGAGAUGGUAGUAAGCCUUUCUGGUUCAGCCACCAUAACCUUGUCGCCAUAGUUCCCCAUCUAGAGCUUUCUUUAGGGAAUGACACUGAUGAACAUUUAAAGCUUAUUCUAGCUGUAAGUUCAGCAGGGCACAGGCCAUGCAUUGGGAGUGCUAGUGAAAGUUACCUAGGACUUGGUAAGUCAUAUUCUGACAUGGGAGUGGACAUUGUGUUUGGCCAUCUCACCCACAUCAGUCACCACAGUACUGUUUUUUGUCUGCUCCUUUGAUUGUCCUGCAAUUGUUCCACCAUGAAAAGGUGAAAAUCAUUAGUGCAGCAACACCCGGUGAGGGUGGGAUUGCUCCACAAGAACAUAAAUAAGAUAAACACGAUGUGGAAAGCAAACUAUUCUGCAGACAUU